GCGCACGCUGGCCGCAGGCCUAACACCUGCCAGUCGAACGAACCUUUCGGGGUUAGUGGCGGACGGGUGAGUAACACGUGGGAACGUGCCUUUAGGUUCGGAAUAACUCAGGGAAACUUGUGCUAAUACCGAAUGUGCUCUUCGGGGGAAAGAUUUAUCGCCUUUAGAGCGGCCCGCGUCUGAUUAGCUAGUUGGUUGAGGUAAUGGCUCACCAAGGCGACGAUCAGUAGCUGGUCUGAGAGGAUGAUCAGCCACAUUGGGACUGAGACACGGCCCAAACUCCUACGGGAGGCAGCAGUGGGGAAUCUUGCGCAAUGGGCGAAAGCCUGACGCAGCCAUGCCGCGUGAAUGAUGAAGGUCUUAGGAUUGUAAAAUUCUUUCACCGGGGACGAUAAUGACGGUACCCGGAGAAGAAGCCCCGGCUAACUUCGUG
rnacentral:rRNA from 1 species